rnacentral:rRNA from 1 species
UACGUAGGUGGCAAGCGUUAUCCGGAAUGAUUGGGCGUAAAGGGUGCGCAGGCGGAUGUAUAAGUCUGAAGUAAAAGCCAUCGGCUCAACCGAUGUAAGCUUUGGAAACUGUAGAUCUAGAGUGCAGGAGAGGACAGUGGAAUUCCAUGUGUAGCGGUAAAAUGCGUAGAUAUAUGGAGGAACACCAGUGGCGAAGGCGGCUGUCUGGCCUGUAACUGACGCUGAGGCACGAAAGCGUGGGGAGCAAA